GGAUUGGUAGGAACUGAGCCAAAAACACGUCGUUCACUGCCUGUCGCACGCGUGUUGUGUGCCGAUUGGCCUCAUUCUUGUGAGAACUCCGCCCAAUGGGUCUCGCACGGAAGAGGCGACCAUCAUGUGUCGAUUUACGCAACUACCGCAUCAUUUUAUUGAUCAUUGUUUUUUAUUC
ensembl:ncRNA VF15C11L.1 ncRNA